rnacentral:rRNA from 1 species
UACGUAGGGUGCAAGCGUUAUCCGGAAUUAUUGGGCGUAAAGAGCUCGUAGGCGGUUUGUCGCGUCUGCUGUGAAAACUGGGGGCUCAACCCCCAGCCUGCAGUGGGUACGGGCAGACUAGAGUGCGGUAGGGGAGAUUGGAAUUCCUGGUGUAGCGGUGGAAUGCGCAGAUAUCAGGAGGAACACCGAUGGCGAAGGCAGAUCUCUGGGCCGUAACUGACGCUGAGGAGCGAAAGCAUGGGGAGCGAGCAGG